rnacentral:rRNA from 1 species
UAAGGAAUAUUGGUCAAUGGACGCAAGUCUGAACCAGCCGUGCCGCGUGAAGGAUGAAGGUCCUCUGGAUUGUAAACUUCUUUUAUCUGGGACGAAAACGGGAUUUUUAUCUCAAUUGACGGUACCAGAGGAAUAGGCACCGGCUAACUCCGUGCCAGCAGCCGCGGUAAUACGGAGGGUGCGAGCGUUAUCCGGAUUUACUGGGUUUAAAGGGUGCGUAGGUGGGCUUAUAAGUCAGUGGUGAAAUCUCCGAGCUUAACUUGGAAACUGCCGUUGAUACUAUAGGUCUUGAAUUAUCUGGAGGUAAGCGGAAUAUGUCAUGUAGCGGUGAAAUGCUUAGAUAUGACAUAGAACACCAAUUGCGAAGGCAGCUUACUACAUAUAAAUUGACGCUGAGGCACGAAAGCGUGGGGAUCAAACA